AAAGCUCCGGGCUUAACCCGGAGAGGUCGUUCAAUACUGUCGAACUAGAGGACAUCAGAGGAGCAUGGAAUUUCCGGUGUACCGGUAAAAUGCGCAGAUAUCGGAAGGAACACCAGUGGCGAAGCCGGUGCUCUGGGGUGGGCCUGACGCUGAGAGACGAAAGCUAGGGGAGCGAACAGGAUUAGAGACCCUGGUAGUCCUAGCCCUAAACGAUGGAUGCUAGGUGUGGGNCCGAGAAGGCUCUGUGCCGCAGUUAACGCGCUAAGCAUCCCGCCUGGGGAUUACGGCCGCAAGGCUAAAACUCAAACGAAUUGACGGGGCCCCGCACAAGCAGCGGAGCGUGUGGUUUAAUUCGAUGCUACACGAAGAACCUUACCUGGGUUUGACAUGUACGUGGUAGAGAAGCGAAAGCGGAUCGACCCUUCGGGGAGCGUACACAGGUGCUGCAUGGCUGUCGUCAGCUCGUGCCGUGAGGUGUCGGGUUAAGUCCCGUAACGAGCGCAACCCUUGCCCUUAGUUACAAGUGUCUAAGGGGACUGCCGGCGGUAAGCCGGAGGAAGGUGGGGAUGACGUCAAGUCAGCAUGGCCCUUAUAUCCAGGGCUACACACACGCUACAAUGGUCAGUACAAAGGGCAGCGAAGCCGCGAGGUGAAGCGAAUCCCAACAAAGCUGAUCUAAGUUCGGAUUGCAGGCUGCAACUCGCCUGCAUGAAGCUGGAGUUGCUAGUAACCGCGCGUCAGCUAUAGUGCGGUGAAUACGUUCCCGGGGCUUGUACACACCGCCCGUCACGUCAUGGGAGUCGGUAACGCCUGAAGCUGGUAGUCUGGCCCGCAAGGGGGACGCCAUCAAAGGCGGGGCUGGCAACUGGGACGAAGUCG
rnacentral:rRNA from 1 species